rnacentral:rRNA from 1 species
UACGUAGGGUGCAGGCGUUAAUCGGAAUUACUGGGCGUAAAGCGUGCGCAGGCGGUCUGCUAAGAGAGGCGUGAAAUCCCCCGGCUUAACCUGGGAACUGCGUCUGAUACUGGACGGCUUGAGUAUGGGAGAGGAACGUAGAAUUCCAGGUGUAGCGGUGAAAUGCGUAGAUAUCUGGAGGAAUACCGGUGGCGAAGGCGGCGUUCUGGACCAUUACUGACACUGAAUCGCGAAAGCUAGGGGAGCAAACGGG